AAAGUCAAUGAAAUUACAAGUAGAAAAAUAAUAGAGAAAAAUCAAUGAAACAAAAAGCUUAUUUUUUAAAAAAGAUAAACCUUUAGCCAGACUGAGAAAAAGAGAGAAGCUAUAAAUCACCAAUAUCAAACAUGAAAGUAGCAGGGCCGGGAGCGGUGGCUCACGCCUGUAAUCCUAGCACUUUGGGAGGCUGAGGCAGGCAGAUCACUUGAGGUCAGGAGCUCGAGACUAGCCUGGCCAAAAUGGUGAAACCCCGACUCUAUUAAAAUACAAAAAUUAGCCGGGUAUGGUGGCAUGUGCCUGUAGUCCCAGCUGCUCGGGAGGCUGAGGCAGGAGAAUUGUUUGAACCCAGGAGGCGGAGGCUGCAGUGAGCUGAGAUCACACCACUGCUCUCCAGCCUGGGCAACAGAAGGAGAUUCUUUCUCAAAAAAAAAAAGAAAAGAAAAAAGAAAAAAAAAGAAAGCAGGGACGUCAUCACUGAUCCUUCUGACAUGACAGACAUUAAAAAGCUAAUAAGUGGCUGGGUACAGUGGCUCAUGCCUGUAAUCCAGCACUUUCGGAGGCUGAGGUGGGCAGAUCACCUGAGGUAAGGAGUUCAAGACCAGCCUGGCCAACAUGGCGAAACCCCGUCUCUACCAAGAAUACAAAAAUUAGCCAGGCGUAGUGGUGCGCACCUGUAGUCCCAGCUACUCAGGAGGCUAAACGAAAUCAAAGAUCUAAAUAAAUGGAUAGAAAUACUGUAUCCAUGGAUAGGACAACUCAAUAUUGCUAAAAAGCCAAUUUUUCUCGAAGUGAUAUAUAGAUUCUUUUCCCAUGUACUAUCUAUCUUGUCUACCAAGCCCACUUUCAGGAGGUAGCUGAUAGCAGCUCCAAGUACCAUCUAUCUUAUAUAUACAGCGUAUGCAUUUUUAGUCAAAAUUCUAAAAGGUGAAACAAUCUCAGCCACAGGAUUUGAGUAGUGUGACCUUCAUGGACUCAUUCUACUUAAAGGCCUACCUGAUGAGCUACCCAAAAUAUUUUUGCCUGAUAAGAUAUAUAUUCGUUUUCUUUUCCUCCCAUAACAUAUUACCAUAAUUUACCAGCUUAAAAUCACACUCAUUUAUUAUCUCACAGUUCUGUAGGUCAGAAAUCCAGGCACAGAGUGACUCAGCUAGCUCUCUGUGCUAGGUUUUACAAGGCUGCAAUCAAGGUAUUACUUACUUUGUUCCUUUCUGGAGGCUCUAAGGGAGAAUCUGUUUCCUGCUCAUUAGGUGGUUGACAGAAUUUAGUUCCAUGCACUUGUAGGACUGAGCUCUCCAUUGCUUGCUAUCUGUCAGCCAGGAGCCAUUCUCAGCUUCUAGAAGCUACCUGCAUUCCUUGGCCAUUUUUUUUCAAAGUCAGCAACGAUGCACCAAGCCUUUCUUUCUUUCUUUCUUUCUUUCGAGAUGGAGUCUCGCUCUGUCACCCAUGGAGUCUCGCUCUGUCACCCAGGCUGGAGUGCAGUGGUGCGAUCUCAGCUCACUGCAACCUCUGCCUCCUGGGUUCAAGAGAUCCUCCUGCCUCAGCUUCCAAAGUAGCUGGGACCACAGGCAUGUGCCACCACGCCCGGCUGAUUUUUGUAUUUUUGGUGGAGACAGGGUUUCACCGUAUUACCCAGUGGAGACAAGGUUUCACCAUGUUGCUGGUCUCGAACUCCUGAGCUCAAGCGAUCUGCCCGCCUCAGCCUCCCAAAGUGCUGAGAUUACAGGUGUGAGCCACCACGUGGUGGCAUCAAGCCUUUUUAUGAUUUGAAUGUCUCUGAUCUUUCUGCCUCAUCUUUUCUCAGCUUUUCUUUUUUGCCACAUCUGACUGACUCCAGCUGAAGAAAUUUCUCUUUUUAUGAGGGCUCAAGUGGUUAGACUGGGCCAACCAGAUAUCUACAAUAAUUUCCCUACUUUAAGAUCUAUAAAUUUAAUUACAUCUGUACAUUCUUAGCAGUGCCUAGAUUAGUGUUUUACUGACUAGGGGUGGAAAACUUAGAGGGACUUUAGAAUUCUGCCUCCUAUAAGAUACAUGACCUAUAUAAUGAAAAUGAUAAAAUUUUUGGAAAACAUAUAUGAGGACACUUGAAUAAAUGCAGAUUACUGAAAGGAAAGGCUCAUAUAGAAGAAUAUUGUUUUCCCUGAAAUUAAUAUACAAACAGAAAUUUUAAUAAAAAUCCACAUAGAGUUUUGGGGGUUCUUGACAACUUGAUUCCAAAAACAAGAAGAAUAAAUGGGUAAAAAAGACAACUGAAUAGGAAAAAGAAAGUGUAUUCCCCAACUCAUUUAAUGAAGGUAGCUAGCAUAAUUUGAUACCAAAUUCAGAGAAAGACAUUACCAAAAGAAAAAUUACAGGUCAGUCUUAUUUGUGAGAUCCCCUGAAAUCUUAAACAAAAUGUGAGUAUAUUGAAUCCAGCAACAUACAAAAAAGAGAUAAUAGACUAAUGGAAAGAAUACCAAGGUCAGAAACAACUCCAUACUUAUACGACUACUUGGUUCAUGAUCAAGAUGGCACUGCAGGGUAGGGCAGAGAGGACCAUCUUUCAACAAAUGGUGCCAGUCUAAUUUUCCACAUGGAAGGGGUUGGGGAUCUAUAUAUGCCUCCCUUUCUCCAUAUGUAAGAACAUUAAUUGCAGGUCUGCCUAGACCAAAAUUUAAAAAGCAAAGCAAUAAAAUUUUAGAAGACAAUAUAAAAGUCUUAAUGAUCUUAGGGUUGGAAAAGAUUUCUUAAAUAGGAUACAGAUAUCAUUAAUCAUAAGGGAAGAGUGAUGAAUUUU
rnacentral:lncRNA from 1 species